AUUGAACGCUGGCGGCAGGCCUAACACAUGCAAGUCGAACGAGUGGCGGACGGGUGAGUAAUGUCUGGGAAACUGCCCGAUGGAGGGGGAUAACUACUGGAAACGGAGGCUAAUCCCGAAUACCUUCGGAUUUGCCAGGAGGGGAUUAGCUAGUGGGUGGGGAAACGGCUAACCAAGGCGACGAUCCCUAGCGGGUCUGAGAGGAUGACCAGCCACACUGGAACUGAGACACGGUCCAGACUCCUACGGGCGGCAGCAGUGGGGAAUAUUGCACAAUGGGCGCAAGCCUGAUGCAGCCAUGCCGCGUGUAUGAAGAAGGCCUUCGGGUUGUAAAGUACUUUCAGCGAGGAGGCGUUACUCGCAGAAGAAGCACCGGCUAACUCCGUGCCAGCCGCCGCGGUAAUUC
rnacentral:rRNA from 1 species